AUGGGAUCAGAGGCUGGCAGAAUUGCUCACUGGUCCGAGCUGUCCCGCUCACGGCCUCCCCGAUGCUAUUGGCGUAGAGGGCAACCACCGUCACUUGGUACUCGGUCAGUGGCCGGAGACCCUGCAGCCGCACACUGGUCUCACCAGCUGGGACGUUCACCUGCCCAAGGCCAAAGGUCACUUUAUCUUGCCCAGCCAAGUCCCCAGCCAUCACCUAUCACUUCUGACAUUCUACCUCCUGCCGCUGGCUUGACAGUGGCUGUCCCAGUCCCGUCAGAGGAGUGUACUGGACCUUGUAGCCAGUCACAGGGCCACUGGCCGCUGUCCACUGUACUCUCAAGGAUUGGCUGCUUGGCUCAGACAGCACUAGGUCCCGUGGAGCAGAGGUCGAGUCAUCCACUGGGAAUGGGGGAUCAGGGGAUCAGGCAGGAGGGUUGGGGUGAGCAUGUAUGGUGCAGAGUUGGGGUCAGGGGUCAGGAGCACAUAAGAUGGAAUCAGCACUUCCAGGUGGGGGUUGGGAGUGGGUCUGGGGUCCAGGUCAGGGUACACUGUGUGGGCAGGAACUCACAAGGCUGGGUCACAGGCACACCACCAGCAGUCGUGCACACUCUCCGAGAAACAAUGGGCAGUAGGGUCCUCAAGAUGCUGAAGUCGUUGACGAAGAAGAAGAAGUCAUUGGUGGGCUGUGAGGCAACUCGCUUCAGCUCCUCAGGGUCAGCAUUUUUGAUCCCUGAAGUGAUGCCGAGUCAGGACUCAGUCACCACAUGGUCUCUGACUGCCCCCUACCAGCUGACCUGUCACCCGGCUCGGUCCUCACCCACAGCAAAUAGCUUGACCCCCUGCCCUUUCAGCCUUUGGGCAGCUGUGUCCACCAGGUCCUGGGACUUCCCAUCUGUGAUCAGGAUGCAGACCUGGAACAGGUGCAGGGGUCAGAUCACGACUCCCCUGGACACUUCAUUUGGGGUCAUCUCGGGAGGCAUGGUAGGGGUAGGGAUCACCUUGGGGACACCAGGUCGGGCCAGCUGGGGCAGGAAGACAAGAUCAGUCACAUGGAGAAUCGCAGCCCCUGUGCGAGUGUUGCCCCCCUUGUAG
rnacentral:lncRNA from 13 species